AUUGAACGCUGGCGGCAGGCCUAACACAUGCAAGUCGAACGAGUGGCGGACGGGUGAGUAAUGUCUGGGAAAUGCUUGAUGGAGGGGGAAAAUUACUGGAAACGGUAGCUAAUACCGCAUACUAGCGGAUAACCCUGAUGUGAUUAGCUAGUAGGUGAGGUAAUGGCUCACCUAGGAGACGAUCCCUAGCUGGUCUGAGAGGAUGCUCGGCCACACUGGGACUGAGACACGGCCCAGACUCCUACGGAGGCAGCAGUGGGGAAUAUUGCACAAUGGGCGCAAGCCUGAUGCAGCCAUGCCGCGUGUGUGAAGAAGGCCCUAGGGUUGUAAAGUACUUUCAGUCGGGAGCCGUUACCUACAGAAUAAGCACCGGCUAACUCCGUGCCAGCAGCCGCGGUAAUUC
rnacentral:rRNA from 1 species